rnacentral:rRNA from 1 species
GAUGAACGCUAGCUACAGGCUUAACACAUGCAAGUCGAGGGGCAGCAUUUUUAUAGCAAUAUAAAGGAUGGCGACCGGCGCACGGGUGAGUAACACGUAUCCAACCUGCCGAUAACUCGGGGAUAACCCUUCGAAAGAAGGCCUAAUACCCGAUGGCAUAUCCCUUCCGCCUGGUGGGGAUAUUAAGAACUUACGGUUAUCGAUGGGAGUGCGUUCCUAUUAGUCUUGUUGGUCGGGGUAACGGCCCGACCAAGGCGAUCGAUGGAUAGGGGUUCGUGAGAGGAAGGU